UACAGAGGGGACUAGUGUUAUUCGAAAUGACUGGGCGUAAAGGGCAUGUAGGCUGUUUUUUUUAAGUUUAAAGUAAAAUACCAGAAUAUGUUUUGGGAAAUCUUUUUAGACUAAAAAAACUUGAGUGCGAUAGAAGAUAGUAGAAUUUCCAAGGAAGGGAUAAAAUACGUAAAUCUUGGAAGGAAUGCCAAAGGCGAAAGCAGCUAUCUGGAUCGAAACUGACGCUGAGGUGCGAAAGCAUGGGGAGCAAACGGG
rnacentral:rRNA from 1 species